rnacentral:rRNA from 1 species
GACGAAGGGUGCUAGCGUUGUUCGGAAUGACUGGGCGUAAAGGGCGCGUAGGCGGUCUUUUAAGUUAGGCGUGAAAGCCCUGGGCUUAACCCAGGACGUGCGCUUAAGACUGGAAGGCUUGAGUUUGGAAGAGGAAAGUGGAAUUCCUAGUGUAGAGGUGAAAUUCGUAGAUAUUAGGAAGAACACCAGUGGCGAAGGCGACUUUCUGGUCCAAUACUGACGCUGAGGCGCGAAAGUGUGGGGAGCAAACAGG